rnacentral:rRNA from 1 species
GCCUGCCCGGUGACUAUAUGUUAAACGGCCGCGGUAUUCUGACCGUGCCAAGGUAGCGCAAUCACUUGCCCUUUAAAUGGGGGCCCGUAUGAAUGGCAUCACGAGGGCUAAUCUGUCUCCUUUCUCCAGUCAAUGAAAUUGAUCUCCCCGUGCAGAAGCGGGGAUAAAACCAUAAGACGAGAAGACCCUGUGGAGCUUUAGAUACUAAAUUGAUCCUCUUAAUAUAUUCAAAAUAAAGAUAUCCAAACAAGGAACACAAUCCGACUAUCUUUGGUUGGGGCGACCGCGGGGACUAAAAAAACCCCCAUGUGGACCGGGAAUAAAAAUUUUUCUUAUUCCUUCAAUUAAGAGCUACCACUCUAACUAGCAGAACUUCUGACCUAAAAUGAUCCGACAAAGUCGAUCAACGGACCGAGUUACCCCAGGGAUAACAGCGCAAUCCCCUUUAAGAGCUCUUAUCGACAAGGGGGUUUACGACCUCGAUGUUGGAUCAGGACAUCCCAUUGGCGUAGAAGCUAUUAAGGGUUCGUUUGUUCAACG